rnacentral:rRNA from 1 species
CGGCGGACGGGUGAGUAAUGUAUGGGGAUCUGCCCGAUGGCGGGGGAUAACUACUGGAAACGGUAGCUAAUACCGCAUAAUGUCUACGGACCAAAGCGGGGGACCUCCGGGCCUCGCGCCAUCAGAUGAACCCAUAUGGGAUUAGCUUGUAGGUAAGGUAACGGCUUACCUAGGCGACGAUCCCUAGCUGGUCUGAGAGGAUGAUCAGCCACACUGGGACUGAGACACGGCCCAG